rnacentral:rRNA from 1 species
AACGCUAGCUACAGGCUUAACACAUGCAAGUCGAGGGGCAGCAUGGUCUUAGCUUGCUAAGACUGAUGGCGACCGGCGCACGGGUGAGUAACACGUAUCCAACCUGCCGUCUACUCUUGGACAGCCUUCUGAAAGGAAGAUUAAUACAAGAUGGCAUCAUGAGUCCGCAUGUUCACAUGAUUAAAGGUAUUCCGGUAGACGAUGGGGAUGCGUUCCAUUAGAUAGUAGGCGGGGUAACGGCCCACCUAGUCUUCGAUGGAUAGGGGUUCUGAGAGGAAGGUCCCCCACAUUGGAACUGAGACACGGUCCAAACUCCUACGGGAGGCAGCAGUGAGGAAUAUUGGUCAAUGGGCGAGAGCCUGAACCAGCCAAGUAGCGUGAAGGAUGACUGCCCUAUGGGUUGUAAACUUCUUUUAUAAAGGAAUAAAGUCGGGUAUGCAUACCCGUUUGCAUGUACUUUAUGAAUAAGGAUCGGCUAACUCCGUGCCAGCAGCCGCGGUAAUACGGAGGAUCCGAGCGUUAUCCGGAUUUAUUGGGUUUAAAGGGAGCGUAGAUGGAUGUUUAAGUCAGUUGUGAAAGUUUGCGGCUCAACCGUAAAAUUGCAGUUGAUACUGGAUAUCUUGAGUGCAGUUGAGGCAGGCGGAAUUCGUGGUGUAGCGGUGAAAUGCUUAGAUAUCACGAAGAACUCCGAUUGCGAAGGCAGCCUGCUAAGCUGCAACUGACAUUGAGGCUCGAAAGUGUGGGUAUCAAACAGGAUUAGAUACCCUGGUAGUCCACACGGUAAACGAUGAAUACUCGCUGUUUGCGAUAUACGGCAAGCGGCCAAGCGAAAGCGUUAAGUAUUCCACCUGGGGGGUACGCCGGCAACGGUGAAACUCAAAGGAAUUGACGGGGGCCCGCACAAGCGGAGGAACAUGUGGUUUAAUUCGAUGAUACGCGAGGAACCUUACCCGGGCUUAAAUUGCAGAUGAAUUACGGUGAAAGCCGUAAGCCGCAAGGCAUCUGUGAAGGUGCUGCAUGGUUGUCGUCAGCUCGUGCCGUGAGGUGUCGGCUUAAGUGCCAUAACGAGCGCAACCCUUGUUGUCAGUUACUAACAGGUUCCGCUGAGGACUCUGACAAGACUGCCAUCGUAAGAUGUGAGGAAGGUGGGGAUGACGUCAAAUCAGCACGGCCCUUACGUCCGGGGCUACACACGUGUUACAAUGGGGGGUACAGAGGGCCGCUACCACGCGAGUGGAUGCCAAUCCCAAAAACCUCUCUCAGUUCGGACUGGAGUCUGCAACCCGACUCCACGAAGCUGGAUUCGCUAGUAAUCGCGCAUCAGCCACGGCGCGGUGAACACGUUCCCGGGCCUUGUACACACCGCCCGUCAAGCCAUGGGAGCCGGGGGUACCUGAAGUGCGUAACCGCGAGGAGCGCCCUAGGGUAAAACUGGUGACUGGGG